AAACCAACAGGGAUUGCCCUAGUAACGGCGAGUGAAGCGGCAAUAGCUCAAAUUUGAAAGCUGGCCUUACGGUCCGCAUUGUAAUUUGUAGAGGAUGCUUUUAGGCAGCCGCCGGUCUAAGUUCCUUGGAACAGGACGUCAUAGAGGGUGAGAAUCCCGUAUGUGACCGGCUCUGGCACCUUAUGUAAAGCUCCUUCGACGAGUCGAGUUGUUUGGGAAUGCAGCUCUAAAUGGGAGGUAAAUUUCUUCUAAAGCUAAAUACUGGCGAGAGACCGAUAGCGCACAAGUAGAGUGAUCGAAAGAUGAAAAGCACUUUGGAAAGAGAGUUAAAAAGCACGUGAAAUUGUUGAAAGGGAAGCGCUUGCAAUCAGACUUGGACUUGGCUGUUCAACAGGUCUUCUGACCUGCCUAUUCAGUCUUGUCCAGGCCAGCAUCAGUUUCGGCGGCCGGAUAAAGGCCCUGGGAAUGUAGCUUUGUCUUCGGGCGAAGUGUUAUAGCCCAGGGUGUAAUACGGCCAGCUGGGACUGAGGUCCGCGCUUCGGCUAGGAUGCUGGCGUAAUGGUUGUAAGCGGC
rnacentral:rRNA from 1 species